GGGAGGACACGCACAGGUGAGCAUGGCGAGCGGGCGAGGUGGGAACCGAGGCGAGGAUGGACGGGGCUAUUUCUAGUCCAGUCUCUACAGGGAAGGCGUGGGUGACGAGGGGACCCACAAAUGGCCUUGCCGCCCCCUGGCGGCCCAGAACAUAGGCUGGGGGCUGGGAGCCUUCGGCUGAGGAAGGCCCUGGCUCUUGGUGGUGUCAGGAAGGACACAGCAGAAAGGGAAGGGCUAGGAGCCCACAGCCUUGGCGAGGGGCCGGUGGCGCCCCUUCCUCUCUGGGUUGUCCUGAGCGAUUUGCUUCCCCUCUCUGGGCUUCCGCUGUAAGAACGACCCAAAAACAACUGUGCAACCUCCACAGGGGCCACAGCGUGUGGACUAGAUGGCAUCGUGCAUGUGGAUCCCGCCACACAGCGUCAGGCCUGGCCUGGGCUCAGGAAAUGCAAAUCCCUUCUCUUCCCUUGGAGGUGUUGACCCUGGCUCCACACCAGACGGUUGGUAAAGCCCCUUUCUAGCCAUCGUCUGCUGUGGUCCUGCUCCUGCCCUGGGAGGUACUGGUAUCCCCGUUUUACAGGUGUGAAAAACAGCCUGGGAGCUUGAAUGGCCUACGAGUCAAGGUUCCUCAGCUGGUCAGAGCCGCGACCUCACCCAGACUCUGAAGCCUGAGUUCCUUCCAUCACAUCAACUGUUGGUUGAAUUUUUUAAAGUGACGGGGGAAACAGUUCCUCGCCUCAGUUUCCCCUCCUGCCGCAGAGGGAACCAGAAUGAUCCAAUCCUCCCCUGCCCGGGGAAGUCCACGCCAGGCAAGUGGUUACUAAAAAUUCUCGGGCCGCAUGCCAGCCCCGGGGGUCCCUGCGCGAUCCCCGGGGUCCCUUCCCACAGCGCUGCCCCGUGGUGGCCUCGGGCGCUGCAGGCUGAGUGCACCCGGCGGACGUGUCCCCUCAUUCCGGUUCCUGCGGUGUUGGGAAGCCCCGGCUUGAGCCCUGCUCCGCCCUCUCUCGGUAUCCAAACCUCUCCGCAUCCUUCACGCCUCCUUGCCACCAACACGCAGAGGGCGCCUCACACCGUCUCAUUAGAUGCUCCUCCACUACCUCGAGGCAGGACAAUUCGCCCGUUCUAGGCGCGGAGAUUCGAGCUCUGGAGGUGAAGCCACUUCCAAGGAAAGGGCAGAAGGUUGGAGGCGGGAUUGGGGCCCAGGUGUCUUUGUCCCCAUAUUUUGUUUGGGACACCAGAAUCUGCUAAGUGCUCUUCACAGACAUUAUCCAGUCCAGCGUUGCUCCUUCUGUGGCCCCCGGGGAAUCCAGACCAGGUCACCGGCUGUGCUGUCAGGUGUAGUAGCCACGACCCACAGGGAGCCCUUGACUCGUGGCUGGUCGGAGUUGAGAAGUGCUGUAAAUGUAAAACACACAACCGAUUUCGAGGUCUUAGUACUUAAAAAAAGAAUACAAAAUAUCUCAUUUAUAAUUUUUUAUGAUUGAUUACAUGUUAAAAUUAUACUUCAGAUAAAUUGGGUUAAAUAAAAUAUGAAAUUAAAAUAUUUUAUUUAUAUAUUAAAUAAAUUUUAUUUUAUGUAUUAAAAUAUAUAAUUAAAAUUUUCUGUAAGAGACUUUUCACCUGUUUCUUUUCACCUUGUUAUGUAAUUAGUACUAGAAAAUGGAAAUUGGCAAAUGUGGCUUGUAUUUGUGGCUCCGAUUUCCACAGGACAGCACUUGACCAAAGGUGCCCAUUCCUGGUUCCCACCCAAGACCCCUGACAGCCUGUCUGGGAUGGGACCCUGGGACCUGCAUUUUAACAGGGUCUCUUCAGGGAUUCUGCAGACCACCAAAGUUUGAGAUGAAGCUCCAGAAAUAUUUUUGGCUUGUUCACUAUUAUAUUUUUCAGGAUCUGGCAUAGGGCCUGACACAUAGUAGGUGCUCAUUAAAUGUUUGUUGAGUGAAUUAGCACAUCCAAUGCUCAUAGUAGGUAAGUAAAGAGAUAAGACAUUAAAAAAAAAAAGUAACUAUGGGACUUCCCUGGUGAUACAGUGGUAAAGAAUCCGCCUGCCAAUGCAGGGGACACGGGUUUGAGCCCUGGUCCAGGAAGAUCCCACAGGCCGUGGAGCAACUAAGCCUGUGCACCACAACUACUGAGGCUGCCUGCUGCAGCUACUGAAGGCUGCGUGCCUAGAGCCCGUGCUCCGCAACAAGAGAGGCCACCGCAAUGAGAAGCCUGUGCACUGCAAUGAAGAGUAGCCCCCGCUCGCCACAACUAGAGAAAGCCUGUGCACAGCAACGAAGACCUAACGCAGCCAUAAAUAAAUAUAAAUACAUUUAUUUUUUUUAAAAAACUUGCUGCUAAAAUACCUCUAAUUAAGAAAAAAAAUAGUAACUAUGGAGUUCUGAAUACCAGCUAAAAACCCAAAAUUAACUUAUAUGUUCUGAGAGGAAAUAUGGCCAAUAUAUAUUGCUAAAGAACAUUAUCUACGUAAUCCCAUCAAACAAAAUAUUUUUAUAUAAAGGACAAAUGGUCUGGUUUCUUCAACAAACAAAUUGCAAGGAAAAUAAAAGAGUUAGGGUAGGAACCUAUAGAUUGAAUGAGAUGUAGGAGACAUUGACCAACUACAUGCUUUCACAGGCCUUAUUUAGAUCCUGAAUGAAACAAACGAAUAAACAAACAAAAUGAUAUUUGAUGAUGUUAGGAAAUUAUUGUUACAGGAUGAUAAUGGGACUUGGGUUUUUUUUUUAAGUCCUUUCCUCUUAGAGAUACAUAUUCAAAUAUUUAAGGAAUAAUUUAUAUGACAUAUGGGAUUUGCUUUAAAAUAAUAUGGGAUGGGGGAGCAGGUGGGUAUAAAUAUGUUGAUUUGGUAUAAAUCUAAGCUGGUUGAUGGUUACAUGGGAGGUCAUUUAUACAAUUCUGUACUUUUGUAUAUGUUGAAAGGUUUCCAUAAUACAAAUAUUUUCAAAAUAAGAAGUCAAGUCACUUCUCACUAAGACCAACUGGUAGUUCAGAAGUGAUUUGACCCAGAUAAGAAGAAUAGUCCUUCUUUACCUGGGAAAAGAUCAAAAUCAAAAGAUUUAUCAUUAUUUAAACAGACAAACCAAGCUUCAAGACAAAAGCAUUAUUAGAAACAAGGAAUAUGUAACUCCAGGAAGAUAUAGCAAUUCUAAACUCUUAUGCACCUGAUAACACAACUUCAAAACAUACAAAGCAAAACAAGGAGACAUAAACAAAUCCAUUAUCCUAAUCAGAGAUUUUAUCACAACUCUUUCAAUUGCCGAUAUAUCAAGAAGAUAAAAGAAUUGCUAAGGAUAUGGAAGACAUAAACAAGAAGAUAUUAAAUAUCAUCAGUAAACAGGAAAAGUAAAUUAAAGCCACAAUGAGUUGGAAUUUUACUCCCACUAGCUUGGUAAAAAUUACAAAGUUGAACAGUUCCACAUUUGGCAAGGAUGUGGCUCAGUGGGGACUCUCCUUCCCUCUGGGUGGGAGUAAAAAUUGGUUCAAUCUCCUUGGAAAAUAGUUUAGCCUUGCCUAAUAGAGUUGAACAUGUUGUACACACAAUAAUUCAACAGUUCUCCUCCUAAAUUUGUUAUUUAAGAGUACAUAUAUGUGACCAACCUAUAAGGAAAGUCAGAAGAGGAAGGAGGGUGCAGCUGUGGAGGGGCACAAAGGUGUGCUUCUAAGAUGCUGGCAAGUUUUAUGAAUGGUGAGGACAUGGAUGUCUGCACUGUUUUCCUUUGAAUUGUAUAUUUUUUGCAUGUACAUGUUAACAAUAAAAAUGCUAUGCCUAUA